GACGAACGCUGGCGGCGUGCCUAAUACAUGCAAGUAGGACGCAGUUGCGUACGUGUGAGUAACGCGAAGGUAACUGCCUAGUAGAGGGGAAUAACUAUUGUAAACGAUACCUAAUACCGCAUACUAGUAGAUGUAACUGCGUUGUAUUAGUUAGUAGGUAGGGUAAUGGCUUACCUAGGCGGGGAUACAUAGCCUACCUUGGAGGGUGAUCGUGCCCACGGGGACUUAGGCACGGCCCAGACUCCUACGGGGGGCAGCAUUAGGGAAUCUUCGGCAAUGGGGGGAAACCUGACCGAGCAACGCCGCGUGAGUGAAGAAGGUUUUCGGAUCGUAAAGCUCUGUUGUUAAGGAAGCGGUACUUAAACAGAAAGGGACGGCUAACUACGUGCCAGCAGCCGCGGUAAUUC
rnacentral:rRNA from 1 species